rnacentral:lncRNA from 1 species
UGAGACGGAAAACUGGAGGGCUUCCAAUCAGAUUAUAUACAUCUGCAGCACUUAGUGUAGUAUCUUUGGUCCAUCUCAGGGAUUGCACCAGGUUUUCCAUCUGAACAUGGUAAGGAAAAAGCACCAGUUCUCCAGUUGCUAUGCUCGAGCUUCCCCAUUUACGAUUGAGAUGUUCCAAAAUGGAUAACCAGGUUUUCCAUCUGUACAUGGUAAGGAAGAAGUACCAGUUCUCCAGUUGCUAUGCUCGAGAUUCCCCAUUUACGAUUGAGAUGUUCCAAAACUGAUGACAUCUUUUUCCUAUUACUUAGAGUGAGUUCCAAGUAUGGGUUA